UAAAAAUCAAACAUGAAAGAUACAUUUGACACAGAUUAUUUCUGUGAUUAAUUGACUUAAAGUCUAGUUUUGUAUGGAAAAAUGUUACAAAAAUUAACAGAGAUUAAUUUAAAUAAUUCUUUAAUUACUGGUAUGAAAAAUAACACGCUGGUUACAAAUGGCUAUUUACACUGGCUAUAAACCGUGAGCUCAUUCACACUGUAAAUGCCUCUACAAUUAAUUUGUUCAGAUAGGUUGAUCAGCUGCACUAUUUUGUUCUUCGAGUAGUAAAUUUCGUCAAGCUUUGCUGGUCAUUUCCAGUGGGUGCCAGACUUCUUCAUGGCAGUGAUGCAUAUUUCCCAUCUCAGUGAUCUGUUCUGGAUAAAGUUCACCCUCGUAAUUCACCAGAAUAUAUUGCCCCCACAGUCAGAUUCUGGAGGUUAUCAGUACUUUCAGGUUGUGAGCAUGAUGUCGAGGGAUAGGCUCAUUGUCAAAGUUGCUGAAUUCCUCAUUUAAGGUAAUUCUGAUAUCAGUGUCUUGUAACAAUAAAUCAGUGCUCCCAUCAUUGCUGCUGCUACUGCUCUCUCUUCAUCUCUUCUGAUGUGGUACUCGCUGUCGUGCUUGCUCACUAUUCAAUGUCGAUGAUUGGAAUUCAGAGGCCACUUCAGUUUCAAGUUCUUCUGCUGAAAUACUUUUUCCUGGGGAAUGUUCUGUUAGUUUGACAACAGCCUUUGCUCACUUCUUCCUGCUUCUUUGCAAUUUGUUCUAAGAAGCUCUCCCCUUCGAUGGGAGAAAGGGAUGAAUCCAGACUCUGCAAAGGCAAUCUUUUCAGGACCGGCUGUCUAUCGGGGGAUAAAUUCCCAACUUGAGGAACUCGGCGAACAAGUUGUCUGGAAUCAUGUGCAGGCUAUCCCAGAGUGUUUUUCAGCAAUGUAGGAAAUUGUUGCUUGGGCACAGAUGUACACCAACUUCCAGUGGCUGUCUCCUUCCACUCUUUUAGCAUUUUUCUCCAGGCACCUUUCAUUGGGCGAAAGUAUGUGACAUCCAAUGGCUGCAUGAGAUUCAUAGUAUUCAAUGGAAGCACUAUGAAUUUUGUCAUUUUUCUUGCAAAGCCGCAGUAUCUUGAUGUUAAUGUGGGAACUAAGGUUAUUGCCAAUUAAGGCCUUCAGUCCUUCCUAACAAUUCAGGAUAGGCAACAGUAACAAUUUGAACAAAUCCUCGAAAGUGUUCCCACCAACCUGAUUUGACACUUUUACCAAGCUCCAUAAGAGCCAUUCUCAGUCCAGAUUGUCCAAAUCUUCUCUCCCUUGUAGUUUAUGGUAAGGUAGCACUAUAUUCCCUGCUGCAUUUCUGCACACCAUGAUUGAUGUGCAUGUCUUUGACGAAUUUUGGAUCUUCUCAGAGUACUUGGUUCCCCUCUUUGUAAUAAUUUUUCCAGUGCCAGGAUCAUUGAUAAGGUUUGUUGGAUCAUAGUUAUAGAUGUUAAUACAAGGAAUUCCGCUCAGUUCCUGUUCCAAAUUAUCGAAAAAAUUGUUCACAACCUAUUCAUCUGUUGCUGGUCUCAAAUGAGAAAUGUUUUUCACAGUUCUCUGGAUUAACACUGCUUUGUGUUGUUUCAUAAAUUUCUCCAUCCAAUCAUUUCCUGGGAAGUUUUUUUUAGAACAAACUUCUUUCUUUACCAACACAAGUCCAGGUAGAACUUGGCAAUGCAUCGAAGGUUGACCAUAUCCAUAGGGAAUCACCAUGGUAAUAAUAUGACCCACGAAUUGCAGCUCCUCCUUAUUUGUAAAAACAGAGGCCAGCCCACAGAAUUGGAGUGUUUUUCCUGCCUCUUUAGGUGCAAGGUGUUUUUCAGAAUGCCAAAUUUUGAUGCUGCUUGGCAAAUUGACAGUUUUGUUUUUGAUAGCUUGCAAGGCCUCCUUUAAACUUUCCUCUGUGUAAUUUGUGUACAGCCAUGUUCCAAGAGCAUGUUAUAGAUUUCCC
rnacentral:lncRNA from 1 species